rnacentral:rRNA from 1 species
UGGGGAAUAUUGCACAAUGGGCGAAAGCCUGAUGCAGCGACGCCGCGUGAGGGAUGACGGCCUUCGGGUUGUAAACCUCUUUCAGCAGGGACGAAGCGCAAGUGACGGUACCUGCAGAAGAAGCACCGGCUAACUACGUGCCAGCAGCCGCGGUAAUACGUAGGGUGCAAGCGUUGUCCGGAAUUACUGGGCGUAAAGAGUUCGUAGGCGGUUUGUCGCUUCGUUUGUGAAAACCAGCAGCUCAACUGCUGGCUUGCAGGCGAUACGGGCAGACUUGAGUACUGCAGGGGAGACUGGAAUUCCUGGUGUAGCGGUGAAAUGCGCAGAUAUCAGGAGGAACACCGGUGGCGAAGGCGGGUCUCUGGGCAGUAACUGACGCUGAGGAACGAAAGCGUGGGUAGCGAACAGG